UGUAUCGUUUGGGGGUUCAUCUGGAAUGUAAUAAUGUGUUUCAUAAUAACUGUACUACCACUGUGAUUCUGAAGAUCAAUAUAUUUCCACAGGGUAGACACCUACAUUAUCAUUAAAAAAAAGAGAACAGUGAACAUGCAAGACAAGCGUAGCUCACCCCAGCUUUUCAAUUUUGUCUGCAAUGCUAAUUUUCACGGAGAGCCACGUGAGCUCCCUGGAGUGCAGUUAAGUCCAUAUCUUGAGUCAAAAAGGCAAAAAUUAAAAACAAAAGAAGACAAAAUCCCAUGCUAGAUCUGAAAUUUUGUCAGAAAGCAAAGAUGGGCUGGGCGCAGUGGCUCAUGCCUGUAAUCCCAGCACUUUGGGAGACUGAGGUUGGAGGAUGGCUUGAGCCCAGGAGUUCAAGGCCAUCCUGGGCAAUAUAGAGAGACCCAGUCUCUAAAAACAAACAACAACAAAACUAGGUAGGCACCGUGAUGCUCACCAUAGUACAGCUACUUGGGAGGCUGAGGCAGGAGGAUCGCUUGAGCCAGGAGUUGAGGCCACGGUGAGCCUGAUGACGCAGCAGAGCUAGACCCCGUCUCAGCAAAACAAAAACAAAAGCAAAGAUGCUUUCAAGAAUCAGGGUGACCCUAAAAGGAUACAGCAACGUUUUGCAAACACCGCCCCGGGGCUGCAGUGUGGCCAUUUCAGCAUGAAAAGCAACCGUACAAAUGGUUAAUGAGAAUAUGCCUCAUUUAUAAACGGAGAGAAGUUAACAUACACAUUCCUAAUAAUAUAACAGCAAAAUGAUGGAAGUAACAUUGCGUUGAAUUUUUAUUGAUUUUGGUAAAAAGGAGCGCGUUGACACGCAUGGGGGUUUUGUUUCUUUAAGCUCAUGUCUGUCUACAUAACGUUUAGGUCUGGGUGUGUGUGUGUCUGUCUGUGUAGGCAGGAGAGAGUGAACAAAAUCAAGAGCCCGGGACAAACGCACUUGAGAAGGGACGAUGGGAGGGCCAGGCUCGGCGGGCUAGUGCUGAGGAUGGGGCGCGUCCCACCCAGGCGCGCCCGGAACAAAGGCGCCUGUCACCAGUCUCUCCCCACGCGGGCUGGCUCUGGAAAGCCCACGGGAAACAAGCCUCACUUUGGGAAGAGGAAGCCGCAGCCCUUGGAUCUAGGGGACACGCGAUGCUGCGAGAAACCAGUGGCGUGUGUGAAACCAGGAGCCCGAGGAGGUUCUGACCCGGGGGAGGAGCAGACCCCCGCGCGGUGUCAGCGUGCGGACACCCGGAGGGCGGAGUCUGUCCCCAAGGCAACCAGACCCAGAGCUUUUGAAUUGACCAAUUGGGAGACGUCCCCGAGCUUGAAACUGGGCCUCAAAGGCUUAGCGUUUCACGCAGAGUCGCAGCCACCCAGCGCUGGGAACCGCAGCCACCCAGCGCUGGGAACCGGAGCCUGCACAGCCCACGCUACCCUGGCCCCCCAAAGGCGCGCGCGAGAGAGCGCCCGCGACCGUCCCCUGCGCCCCGCACCUCAGUAUCCCCGCUCCUCCGCAGCGGUACACCCCCCAGCCCCGCCGUCCGCUCCAUCGCGCAGGUCUCCGGGACAGACCCCGGCUUGGAAGGGCUCUGCGGCCCUGGACCCGUGCGCCAUGGAGGCCGGGCGCAUCGUCUUCCUGCCUAAGGACCCCGCCCCCUACACGCAACCUCGGGUAGCCAGCCGGAAACGGCGUCCCGGGCUCCACAUGACAUCUCUUGUUACAUUUCAGCACAACAGCCGCUCACCUUCUCCCAGAGGAAAAUGCCCGCUCCCUCCAGGGCCAUCAGAUACCCAUUUGGCAUCUACUGUGUGCCCGGCGUAA
rnacentral:lncRNA from 13 species